rnacentral:tRNA from 1 species
GUCUCUGUAGUGUAGUGGUUAUCACGUUCGCCUAACACGCGAAAGGUCCCUGGUUCGAAACCGGGCAGAAACA